rnacentral:sRNA from 1 species
UAAACGUUUGGUUAAAACCAUUAUUUUUAAAAAUUUCGAAAUUAUACCGUAUUUUUCCUAUAAGGCCCGCGGCCAUUUAUAUCGCAUAAUUUUAUCGAAUUUUUAAUAUAACGAAUAUAUUUGUCGUGGUCGGAAAUAUAAUGCUAUUUCCGUUCCUAUAACCAAUUAUAAAUAGUUUUUUUUUGCGUAUAAAAUCUAUUUUAUAAUUUAACCUAUUUUUCCAAUGGGUCGAUUAAAUUAAAUAAAAAAAGUUGAAAUUGCAGAAAUUUAAAAUCGAGGACGAUAUUUUCCGUAUAUAAUAGGAAAUUGCGCGUUUGCAACGAAAAUCGUUUGAAAAAUUUAAUCGGUUAUUGCAAUUACGCAAAUAAAAACGCCUUUUCCAAUUUCGCAACAAAAUUAAAAUUAUCCGUUUAAAUAUUAAAUUGUCGGUAAAAAAUACCGUAGAAAAAAAUCGUUUGGGGGUCGACAAAUUGCUUUUCGAUGGUCUUUUUAAAUUAGGUCUGGUUCCGGAAUUGCGUUCCCUGGGUUACGUUAAUAUUAUUAAUUGGUUUUUAAUAUUGGGUAUUAAUCCGCAAAACUGGGUUUUUGCAAAUUUAAUCCCUGAAAAUGGUAGGUGGUGCUUUUUUAGGUCGUUUUUUUUUGGUUAAUUUGUUCGCAGGUCCAAUUUCUGGUAAUAUUGGCGGAAUAACUUUUGGCAAUUUUGGAGGUGGUUAAGGGGUUUUUAAAUGUUUUUUUCGUAUCCGUAAUUUUCCCAUUUAAUAAAAUAUUUUAUUUUGCCGUGGUUGCGUUUAUGGUCGAAUAUUUGUUUAACGUUAUAAAUUUGUUUUGCGUCGAUUUCGAUCGUUUUUUAUAUAUUGGUGCCGUAUAAUAUUAAUUCCAAUAAUAAUACGUGGAAUAUAAGGUAAAUUUUUAUGGUAUUUGGUAAUAAUAAUUUGUAAUUGGUUGUGCUAAUUUUUUUAUUAAUUUUAAAAGGUCCAAAUUUCUUAAAAUUAAAUUUGCUAUUUGGUCGUUAUAUUUUAAUAUUGCGUCGAAUAAAAUAAACGUUAUUUU